rnacentral:rRNA from 1 species
ACUCCUACGGGAGGCAGCAGUGGGGAAUUUUGGACAAUGGGCGCAAGCCUGAUCCAGCCAUGCCGCGUGAGUGAAGAAGGCCUUCGGGUUGUAAAGCUCUUUCAGGUGGAAAGAAAUAGCGCUGUUUAAUAGAUGGCGUUGAUGACGGUACCACCAGAAGAAGCACCGGCUAACUACGUGCCAGCAGCCGCGGUAAUACGUAGGGUGCGAGCGUUAAUCGGAAUUACUGGGCGUAAAGCGUGCGCAGGCGGUUGUGUAAGACAGGUGUGAAAUCCCUGGGCUUAACCUGGGAACUGCGCUUGUGACUGCACAGCUAGAGUACGGCAGAGGGGGGUGGAAUUCCACGUGUAGCAGUGAAAUGCGUAGAGAUGUGGAGGAACACCGAUGGCGAAGGCAGCCCCCUGGGCCUGUACUGACGCUCAUGCACGAAAGCGUGGGGAGCAAACAGGAUUAGAUACCCUGGUAGUC